GGGAAACGGGGGCAGUGUUAUGGUUCCACUAUAUUUCACCCUACCCUAGUGACCAGUUUUACCACAUAAAAUGAGAAAAUGAAGGAUGAAAAUUACCUAACUUUGAUCCGCCCUUGAAAUCAUGCUGCAAUAAAAUAAGAGGAAACUGGGUGUUCUGCCCUGAACAGCUUUGAAAGUAAGAGUGGAAGGUGACAACAUAAACUAUUACAAUAACCCUCUUAGGAACUGUCUUGUUACAAAUAGAUUCUGUUAUUGAAGAGAUGUCUGUGACAAUAUAGCAACAAUCAGUCAACUAAAGACUUUCAGAGCAGCUGAAUGGAACCUUACCCCUGUGGCAUCAGCUGUCAGAUUCAGCACAGAUCAGGUGAAAAAUCUUCACUCCUCAACUCUCCAGCCCUUCAGAAAAGCUGUAGCUAAAGGGCUUAAAAGAACUAAGGAAAAAAUGAAGACACAGUUCAUCAUGGAGAGAAAGUUGUCCUUCCAUCUGGCUGAGUACACCAGGACUUCAGUGCGUGCUGGUGAACAGAAGUUGUAAACAACUAUCAAGGGACUGGAUUUAUUAUAUUUACCUGAAUAGAAGAUGAGUUGUUGUUCUUUUCCUUUUCCUCCCCACUCCCCCCGCCUCAUCAGCAUGGGGGGGAGGGCUUCUCAUCUUACAUUUGCAUAUUCAAACACCUCAUUAAAUAUAUUGUCUAUCAUUAAACUACUGCCAAAAGCAGUGCAUGCUCAGUAAUAGAAACCAACUAUGCAACUGAUUAAAUGCAGCAAAUGUUGAGCAUGACUAUAAAACACACGACCCAUAUUGGGCAAACAUACUUAUGGGAAGGGUGCCCUCUCCUGCUUUUUAAGGGUCAUACAAAAAAAAAAUAAAUAAAAGGAAGUUGUUCCCCUCAGGAGGGAAUGAGUACCAGGCCUGGAGGUACUGUAGUAUCAGGCCAGCACUUGGACAGGCUAGACCAAGCUCCAACAGCCUCUCCUAGUAACAAAAAAUGGUGAUGGGAGCUUACUACAAGGAUAAAUUGGUGCAAUGUAUAUGAAUAAAAAAUAUGCGAGGGCCUAUUGAGUGCAGUCCCCCUCAGCAAAAACUCUUUUUCAAGUCAUGAUAAAUCACUAAAUUACAUACGGUUUUAUAU